ensembl:lncRNA
AUGUUUGCUUUGUGUAUUUAUCUCAUUCCCUUGCUUGUCUCUGCAGAUGCUUGGACUGGGCUGAGUAUUGGAUUAGCUUUGCUGUUGAUUGAAAUUGCAGCCACUGUUUCAUGCCUCCUUUCAAAGAGGAAAUUGGCAAGAACAAAACCUGAGAACUUCAAUACAGCAUUUGACAACCCACUUUAUGAGGCUCAGAGUGUAAAGUCUACAGAGUGUUCUGCCUCACUGGAAGCUCGGAUCAGUGUUUCUCCAUGGCAGGCACAGCAGGAGGUUUCCUACAACAAUGAUGUAAUGCCUACUUCCUUUGCUAAUCCUCUCUAUGGCACAACAGAAGGGGAAGAUGCCGUGAAACAGUAGAGGUGGGCACAAUACAGGGUGGACAUUUUAUUCAACUUUAUCUGAUGUAAUGUACCUUGCUUUUUUAAAAAAAAAUGAAUUGACUAAUGGCAUAGCAUUUGUAAACUGAACAAAAAUAGAGUGAUUUUCAUAUUAGAAGAGUAAUGUUCUCCAGAUUACACUUCAUUCAAAAUAGCAUCAAGUCCACCCACAUGGGGAGGCAGAGCCUUAAAUGGUAGUUAUGUUGGCAGCAAUAUUCUUGGUAAUUAUUUGUUUUGAAUUGACUAGAUGGUUGAGCAGCUCAAAUUCCAGUGUAUUAAUAAAGAAAAGUUUCAUUUAAUCUAAAGCAGGAUUGAGGUUUUCUUGGCAUUCUAAUUUUACUGCCUUUAUUGAAAAAUGAUGACUGAAAAAUGUUCAUGCUUCUAAAUGCAGGGACUUAAAAAGUUAUAUUACACACAAAAUAACAGCUUCGGCAGAAUCCAAGUGAUCAGAGUGAUUGCAAUAGCUUUGCUCUUACAAUAACAACAUAGCGUAAUGGAUACUUUAGAGAACUAAUCUGUUUUGCUUGACUUUGUCGGAUCUACACCAAACCAAACAUAGUUUCAAAGAUACCACCGUCUUGCCUUCUGAUCUCACUAGCCAUGUUGGUGGGGAUAGGCCAGAAGGCAACUUUUCCAAAUUUUAAGCAAAGGUACCAAGUAUGCGACCAUAAAUUCAAUUUAGAAAUGGCGAGGUGUAAAUGUAAUUAUUUUAAAAAUUCUAACAACAUAUGCUUGUGAUCUCAUAUAGUCUAGACAUUAUUAAAUGAUUCUUAAAUAUUUGGCAACUGUCUUUACUUUUGGGAGGUACUCCACACAGUGGGAUCAGAGGUUGAACAGUGGUCAACAUAUUUUACUAAUGGAGGCCAUAGAACCCUUAAAUAUCAUCAACCGACUUUACUGUUGAACAGCCUAUACCAUAAACCUGUACUGUACACUGUAGAGAAGCAAUGCAAAAGAGAUCCCCAUCUAACCAUUUGAUUUAAUAUAGAAACUGUAUGAAUGUUUGAAUGUGCUUUUUUAUAGCAGUUUCCUGUCACAGAAUAUGAGAUCUGUCACUCUCUGGACUCUCUUUGCAGCAAGGUGGGGCUUUUACCUAAAAUCUUCUUUAGAUUUUUGCAUUUAGAUAGCAUUUUUAACAGAAGUAUGAUAGAUGCUGUCUCCCGUUCAUCUCGCCCAUCAUGUAAUCAUUGCUCAAUGCACUUAUUGCACAAAGAACAAAAUCUGCAUUUAUAUUUCCAGAAUUACAAUUGCCUUAUGUUUGGCAAUCCAGUAGGAGUAACCUCAAUAUUGAAAUUGAGGAAGCCAAAUCUAUUUGAGCCUGGUCCAUAGGAAGGUAACCUGUGGGCCAUGAGCCACAUGUGACCCGUGAACUACUCAAUGCAUCCCCAGUUUACUCCCACAUACACAUCUCCAGGAUAUUUUUGAAGUAUUACAAGCUUUUCACAACCUUUCUUGUACCACGCUGCUAUCAACAUAUCUCUGGUAAUAAGCAUCAAAACACAGUAGGAUAUUAACAUUGUGUGUCAGCUGGCUACGACUUAGAAUCAGAAUCAAACAUCAUUUUAAGUGAAGACGAAUUGCAAACCAACAGUGUUAUCUUACCUUUCAAGUCUUGCACUUUUUAACAUUUAUAAUUAUGUUUUUAAAAACUCUUUCUGGAACCUUUGUGCUAAAGAACUGUGCUAAGAAAGCUCAAGUAACUCAUGUAAAGGUAAAGGUUUUCUCCUGACAUUAAGUCUAGUCGGGUGUUGGUGCUCAUCUCCAUUUCUAAGUCAAAGAACCGGCAUUCUCCGUAGACACCUCCAAGGUUAUGUGGCCAGCAUGACUGCAUUGAAUGCCAUUACCUUCCUGCCAGAGCAGUACCUAUUGAUUUACUCACAUUUGCAUGUUUUAAAACUGCUAGGUUGACAGAAGCUGGGACUAACAGCAGGAGCUCACUCCGUUCCCCGGAUUCAAAAUGCCGACCUUUCAGUCAGCAGGUUCAACAGCUCAGCGGUUUAACUCGCUGAGCCACCAGGGUCUCCCAAGUAACUCAGGCAUUAGUUAAUUUCAAUUCAGGUUGAAAGUACAAGAUUGGGAAAAAGACAAUGUAGGGGAAGUCAUUGUCCUCCACUUGAGUGAUCAGGUUGGACCUACUGCUUUAGCACAACUAUUUGAGAGACAGUUUUGAAAAAUGACAAAUACAAGCAAACUUCAGUUAACAAUGCCUCUGCUAGCAAAAGUUCCUUUUUAAAAAGCUUAAGAGGUUGACUACAUGGGUGAGAAAGAAUUAUAUUCACCACAUAUCCAGUGAAAGCAUAACACACAAGCUUCAGAUAGAUGGGAAGUC